rnacentral:rRNA from 1 species
UACAGAGGUCUCAAGCGUUGUUCGGAUUCAUUGGGCGUAAAGGGUGCGUAGGCGGCGCGGUAAGUCGGGUGUGAAAUCUCGGAGCUUAACUCCGAAACUGCAUUCGAUACUGCCGUGCUUGAGGACUGGAGAGGAGACUGGAAUUUACGGUGUAGCGGUGAAAUGCGUAGAUAUCGUAAGGAAGACCAGUGGCGAAGGCGGGUCUCUGGACAGUUCCUGACGCUGAGGCACGAAGGUCAGGGGAGCAAUCCGG